rnacentral:rRNA from 1 species
ACGGGGUGCAGCAGGCGCGAAAACUUCGCACUGUGCGAAAGCACGACGAGGGAAUCCCAAGUGUUGGCUCGUAAGAGGCAGCUGUUUCUCUGUCUAAAAAACAGAGAGAGUAAGGGCUGGGUAAGACGGGUGUCAGCCGCCGCGGUAAUACCAGCCCCCUGAGUGGUAGGGACGAUUAUUUGGCCUAAAGCGUCCGUAGCCUGUUUGGUAAGUCUUUCGUUAAACCCGGCGAUUCCAUCGUCGGCCCGCGGAAGAGACUGCCAGACUUGAGGACGGGAGAGGUCGACGGUAGUCCCGGGGUAGGGGUGAAAUCCUAUAAUCCUGGGAGGACCACCAGUGGCGAAGGCGGUCGACUAGAACGUGCCUGACGGUGAUGGACGAAAGCUGGGGGAGCGAACCGGAUUAGACACCCGGGUAGUCCCAGCUGUAAACUAUGCGAGCUAGGUGUUGGAGCAACUACGAGUUGCUCCAGUGCCGCAGAGAAGUUGUUAAGCUCGCCGCCUGGGAAGUACGGCCGCAAGGCUGAAACUUAAAGGAAUUGGCGGGGGAGCAC